UCUAGCUACUCAUGUUCAAAGAUGAAACAAAAAGAAAAACAAAGCAAAUGAAAGAAAACAUGGAUAGAAAAUGGAAACUAGAACUCCCUAUGGUAGAAAUGAUGGUGGAGAGUCUUCUCCUUCAAUCUCUUGAGAGGGGAAGCUCCUAAGCCUUCAAAUCCGCUUCAAAACCUUGCUUUCUUGCUUAAUUUCGUCGUGUGGGAGUUAGGGCUCAGAUGUGUGAAGUCCCCUUUUAUACUUGGAGUGAAAAUCAGGGUUAAAUGAGUAAUCAGUCAAAACACCCGGCCGGGUGAUCUGUAGGUGGCUAAACACCCGGACGGGUCUUCUCUCUGGAGCCCGUCAAUUCUUCCAAACACACGACCGGGUCUUUUUGGAAAUGGAAAACACCCGGCCGGGUCUUCUAUCUAGAAUCCUGCUCAAAAUCAGCCUCGGCUCGUUUCAACCUGUUUUCAUCACAAAACUACGACAAACUCAUUAACUCACUUAAUUAGUGUAUAUGUGGUGAAAAACCUAUAUUAAACACCUUAAAUCAUCAAAAUCAUUAUCUAAUCACCCAUAAAACAAUCCUAAAAUAUGAGUUUGUCAGCGGAUCACGAGUGUGAGCCGCUGGAUUGAAUGUCUGUUUGUGUGGUGUUAAACCAAACCUCGCCUCUCAUUCACUCAUUCUCACUCUCUCUCUCUUCGGAUUAAGGCUCUUCACUCUCUCCGUCUCCUCUCUCCCCGAUCGUCUUCUCCUGUCGUUUCUCUUGUUUUUCUGGUGAGAUCGGCCGGUGUAAUCCCUAGCAGAAGCAACUCAUUCGGUUGCUUUGUGAAAUCCAGCGCUAGAUCUGACUUUUGGUUGGGUCUGCUAUGCUGGAGCGGGGUUUCUUCGGUGCUUGCGUGAGAUCGGAGAGUUUCUUGUAUUCUAGUGAUCUUUCUGUGAGAGGUUGAUUGAUUCGUAUGUUUAAGACGGCCGUGGUGUGCAGUAAUCGGUAAUACUUUGGAAUUGUAGCUUGAGGUUCAGAACUGGUUGAAGGAUAUGAAUUUAGCCGGGGUUUAAUAUUUGUAUCUUGUAUUAGAUUUAGAUUGUGUAAUUCUUACUACUUUUGUAUUUGUUGUGCUCUAGUGUGAGAUUGACCAUCUCACUAUUGCGAAAUAAUACAAAGAGGUCCUUAUAA